rnacentral:lncRNA from 1 species
CACCUGUAAGAAUCUAAAAUCUUAAAAGAAAAAAUAAAAACCAGAGAAAAUAGGAAGAAGAAGAAAAAGAAGAAACAAUAACAUAUAUAUGAUGUGUUAUUGUUUUUCGGCAUCACUAAACACUCCUUUAGCCCAUUCAUUUGUGAUAUUCUGGGCAACACAGCCAGAAAAAUAAGGCAAACUGGGGUAUUUCGCAAACACAUUUCUCAAUUCAGAAACAGAACUACAAUUCUAAUGAGUGACUAUGGGAAAUGCUUCAUGAUGUACCUUCACCAAUGUCUCAAGAAAAGGGUCACCAGUAAAUUGAUACUUGUCUCAGUUGAGAAGGGAUAAGAAAUAGGGGUUUGAUACCAGUUCUUGAUACUUUCUUAGUUUUCAAAUAGAGAACAUAAAUUAGGCCAGUGCAAGGUUUACCAAAUCAGUCAACCAAAUAUGCUGAAUUAAUUCAUCAAAUACACACAUCAUGGCUUAGUUUUUUCCAAAAUAAAAAAGGAAGAACAUCAAACAUCGGUAGAACAAUUCAACAUAGUCCAUUCACAAAAUCAAUAAUUUUCCUAGAAGCAUAGGUGCAAGGUGGAAUCAAGUUCAAGUUAGGCUUGAUUUCCCCAAAAGUUAUGUACAAGUUUUACCUUUACCAUGUUCAGAAGCAUCAUGGGAGUACUUAAAAGUUGCUGAUGAACUACUUCUGCCCUUAGUGGUAGAUUUUGACCCAGAUAACUGGCUGAGGUCUUCAUCAUCACUAAAGGAAACUGCACUUCCAGUUUCUGCAGUACCUUUACUUGUGAUAUUCUACAAAAAAUUGAAAAAAAAAAAAAAGAUUGGAAAGCAGAGAGUGGAUAAAUAUUGAACAAGAAUGACAGGUUAAAAAGGGGGAAAAAUUCCAGACAUGGAGAUCACUUGUUCUGCUAAGAAAACUAGAAGAAUAAGCAUUACCUCCAAUGACUGAGCACCUGACAUGAACUGUGGGGUUUCCUUGGAGUGCACUGACCUUUCCUUGACCCGCUCCUGCAAUAGUUAUAUUUAGUUACCAUCAAAUUAUAUAUUUCCUAUAUAGGCAAGGUAUGCAGGCAGUGGGUUCACACCAAGUGUCAGUGAGAUGCCAAAUGCUACUUCUGCAAAGCAAUGUCCUAAAGGGGAAGGAAGAGUACAUGUAGAGAGAUUCCUUCUUUUUCUCAAGAAGUCUUAAUCCUAACUACUCAAAAGGCAAGUAAUAUAAUUAACUUUUAGAUUUAAAAUCACUGCUUAUAUAGUUAGUAAUGCCCACAGAAAGGGAAAGAAACUACCUAGGAGACAAUUAGACAACACUAGGAAAUAUUGGAAAGAAAGAAAGAAAGAAAAGACUUUAUAAAGAUAAGAUAGGAAAUUAUUUGGAAUAUAUGGGCAAAUAUAAAUUUAUAAAGAUGGAAACAUACCAUAAAUAAAAAUUUUAUUUAUUCUAAUAAGAUUUUUAUGUCAAUAUGAUCGGGAAAACCCUAAUCAGAUGUUUAUCUAGAUGGUAUAUAUGCCAUAUAUGUUUAUAUAUAUAGNNNNNNNNNNNNNNNNNNNNNNNNNNNNNNNNNNNNNNNNNNNNNNNNNNNNNNNNNNNNNNNNNNNNNNNNNNNNNNNNNNNNNNNNNNNNNNNNNNNNUCCUUUAGCCCAUCAUUUGUGAUAUUCUGGGCAACACAGCCAGAAAAAUAAGGCAAACUGGGGUAUUUCGCAAACACAUUUCUCAAUUCAGAAACAGAACUACAAUUCUAAUGAGUGACUAUGGGAAAUGCUUCAUGAUGUACCUUCACCAAUGUCUCAAGAAAAGGGUCACCAGUAAAUUGAUACUUGUCUCAGUUGAGAAGGGAUAAGAAAUAGGGGUUUGAUACCAGUUCUUGAUACUUUCUUAGUUUUCAAAUAGGGAACAUAAAUUAGGCCAGUGCAAGGUUUACCAAAUCAGUCAACCAAAUAUGCUGAAUUAAUUCAUCAAAUACACACAUCAUGGCUUAGUUUUUUCCAAAAUAAAAAAGGAAGAACAUCAAACAUCGGUAGAACAAUUCAACAUAGUCCAUUCACAAAAUCAAUAAUUUUCCUAGAAGCAUAGGUGCAAGGUAGAAUCAAGUUCAAGUUAGGCUUGAUUUCCCCAAAAGUUAUGUACAAGUUUUACCUUUACCAUGUUCAGAAGCAUCAUGGGAGGACUUAAAAGUUGCUGAUGAACUACUUCUGCCCCUAGUGGUAGAUUUUGACCCAGAUAACCGGCUGAGGUCUUCAUCAUCA